UCCUGGCAAAUGUUAGUGUUUCCCGGGCCGCCUGCUCCGCCUUCUCUGCCAUUUCUCCCCCUCCCCUCUGCCCUGCAGUGUUGCAAGGCGCCCCGCGACAGUUGCAGGCAAGAGCGUACCCAGGGCCCUUGGUGCGGCGCUGAGCCCGGGAACAGUCAGCGCGCUUUAGAUGGGGCGACUUGGGGCUCACUGGGCCCACGUGGAACGGUCCCCAGAGUCUCAUUUGAAUCUGCGGUAGUGGCGCGAGGUGAACUUGACUUUACAGCAACUGCUUUGACUUGGACAACCAGAGGGCCACAUUCUUCUCUUCUUUGAGCAAUAAAUGCCGGUGCACACUCCA
rnacentral:lncRNA from 1 species